AAUUACUUCUAAAUUUCUUCCAUUUCCAAUUUUUCCAACCCGCGGCUCUGUUUCAGGUUCUUGAAUUGGAAUUUUUUUUUCUUUUUUCCUUCAGUUCUUUUCAAGGUACAAAUCCUGAUAUUAGGGUUUUUGCUGAAAUUAAUAUUCUUUUUCUGCAAUUCCCUCUCAUUUCUUUCUUUCCCAAUUUCUUCUCUGUUAUGGUUCCAAAAUCCUGAAACUUGGUGCUGAAACCCUGUUCUGGAAGAUCUGGUAUAAAUAGGAGGGAGGCACUUGUAAUUGGGCAUUCCUAAAAUUAAUAACAAAUGCAGAUCUCGUCUUUCUUUCUUCUUCUUCCUCUUUCUCUCUCUAUUUCUGCUCUCAUUCUAUCUCUCCUCUUCUCUAAUUCUCUUUAAAUCUUACUCCCUCUCCAUUUCUUUCCUCAGCCUAGUCUAUUUCUGUCCCUUUCUCUUCCUAUUUCUCUGUUCCGGUAAGUUGUGCAAGUCUGGUACGUAACAGGAUGUAGGCACAUCAUCAACUAUGUAAAAUUCCUUUUGCUGUGUUAUUCUUUCUUUCUGUGAUCAUUAUUCUAAUCUACGUGCAUGUGCGUGUAUUUGUAUUCUGUGAAUUUUUCAACAAUCUUAUUUUGUACAUAUAUUUCAUAUUUCCUCAAAAUUUUCCGUCUCCAAUUUUGUGCCCCACAUUCUAUAAAUAGUGUUAUUGGGAGAUCCAAAGUAUAAUUGUUAGGUUCAAUGACCUUAAAAACAACCCCAGCUAGGAUAAUUUGGUUGAUGGAUCAAUACUGUUCUAAAUGGUAUCAAAGCCAACCCAUGCCCACUAGGCCACUACCAUGUGUGAUGUGGUUGUUUAUUCUGGGCUUUCAACAGGCUGAAAUUAUUUAUUUUCUGUGUCCCCUUGACAGGAAGGCUAGGGCCUAAUGGGGACAAGGUUUUAAAAAUAACCUGUUAUGUAAUAGGAUGGAUUUUCCUAUUACAAAUGGUGUUGUAUCACUUUUUAACGGGAAAAAAUGGCUGUUUUAGGACAUUUCUCUAAAGGGUAUGGUCACAACAAAACUAGAGAAGAAGAAGAAGAAGAAGA
rnacentral:misc_RNA from 1 species